AUUGAACGCUGGCGGCAUGCUUUACACAUGCAAGUCGAACGGUAACAGGCCGCAAGGUGCUGACGAGUGGCGAACGGGUGAGUAAUGCAUCGGAACGUGCCCAGUCGUGGGGGAUAACGCAGCGAAAGCUGCGCUAAUACCGCAUACGAUCUAUGGACGAAAGCGGGGGACCGUAAGGCCUCGCGCGAUUGGAGCGGCCGAUGUCAGAUUAGGUAGUUGGUGGGGUAAAGGCUCACCAAGCCAACGAUCUGUAGCUGGUCUGAGAGGGCGACCAGCCACACUGGGACUGAGCCACGGCCCAGACUCCUACGGGAGGCAGCAGUGGGGAAUUUUGGACAAUGGGCGCAAGCCUGAUCCAGCAAUGCCGCGUGCAGGAAGAAGGCCUUCGGGUUGUAAACUGCUUUUGUACGGAACGAAACGGCUCUGGUUAAUACCUGGGGCUAAUGACGGUACCGUAAGAAUAAGCACCGGCUAACUACGUGCCAGCCGCCGCGGUAAAAC
rnacentral:rRNA from 1 species